GCAAGCUUGUGCUUUUGGGCAUGAAUAUCGAGGACCGCCGUCGGCUUCUACUGAAUGUUUCCAAGCAGGACGAAACACCCGACAGUGUCACAGCUGAAUGGCACCGACAGAGACACAGGUAGCCAACGGAGCACACGGAGGUCCUCAUCUGGCACCACUGGGAAGGCACAGCAUUACACAAGAAAGGAACCCUCUUACAACUCAUAAGAACGGGCGCUGGUGACUGGUGCCAGAACCUGCCCCACAAGCCUUGUUUCCUAGCAAAUAUGCAGGAAAGACAGUGAACGUGGGCUCCACGGCUGCAAUGAGGGUUCUGACCUGAUCAACGUUGACUUUCCCCAUGACAAGAGACUCUUCAUUCACCCUGAAGUAUGUCUCCACACACUCAGUGAGGUGCAUAAUAUUUUCGGAUGGUGUGCAAAGAGAUUGCUUGUCUGGAAUAUAGUUCUUGAGUGCCAAAAACCUGUU